CCUACGGGGGGCAGCAGUGAGGAAUAUUGGUCAAUGGGCGUAAGCCUGAACCAGCCAAGUCGCGUGAGGGAUGAAGGUUCUAUGUAUCGUAAACCUCUUUUAUAAGGGAAUAAAGUGUGGGACGUGUCCUGUUUUGUAUGUACCUUAUGAAUAAGGAUCGGCUAACUCCGUGCCAGCAGCCGCGGUAAUACGGAGGAUCCGAGCGUUAUCCGGAUUUAUUGGGUUUAAAGGGUGCGUAGGCGGCCUUGUAAGUCAGCGGUGAAAGUCUGUGGCUCAACCAUGGAAUUGCCGUUGAAACUGGGGGGCUAGAGUAUGUUUGAGGCAGGCGGAAUGCGUGGUGUAGCGGUGAAAUGCUUAGAUAUCACGCAGAACCCCGAUUGCGAAGGCAGCCUGCCAAGCCGUGACUGACGCUGAUGCACGAAAGCGUGGGGAUCAAACAGGAUUAGAUACCCCUGUAGUC
rnacentral:rRNA from 1 species